GGAUGUGAAGGCCAUCUGGCUGUGACAUCUGUCAACUCACUGAUCGCCAGGGUUGAUUCGGCUGAUCUGGCUGGCUAGGCGGGUGUCCCUUCCUCUCUCACCACUCCUUGUGCGUCCCUCCUGAAGCUGCAAGCUCAGUUGGAGAGGACGAGCAUCCCCGAUGGAGGAGGACCAUUUCCUCAGUUAAGGGUAUACGGGUAGCUGCGUUCCAGCCCCAGAACCUCCAAACAAGCUCUCAAGGUCCAUCAUGCAGCCAUGCCACCUGCUCACAGCACUGCCGUGUGGCUGAAGGGACAGCAGCAGAGCAGUGGU
rfam:Fukomys damarensis contig81647, whole genome shotgun sequence.